GAUGAACGCUGGCGGCGUGCCUAAUACAUGCAAGUCGAACGCUGAAGGGGGAACUUUCCCUUCUGGAUGAGUGGCGAACGGGGGAGUAACGCGUAUGUAUCCUCUCUGGUUGCGGGGGAGAUCUAUUGGAAACGCUGGAGAUUAUAGCAGGACAUCUGUUAUAGCAUGAUAACUGUUAGAAAGGGACAACUGCGCCGCUACCAGAUGGUCCUGCGUUGUAUUAGUUAGUUGGUGAGGUAACGGCUCACCAACGCGACGAUACAUAGCCGACCUGAGAGGGUGAUCGGCCACACUGGGACUGAGACACGGCCCAGACUCCUACGGGAGGCAGCAGUAGGGAAUCUUCGGCAAUGGACGGAAGUCUGACCGAGCAACGCCGCGUGAGUGAAGAAGGUUUUCGGAUCGUAAAGCUCUGUUGUAAGAGAAGAACGAGUGUGAGAGUGGAAAGUUCACACUGUGACGGUAUCUUACCAGAAAGGGACGGCUAACUACGUG
rnacentral:rRNA from 1 species